GCAGUGUGGGAGCAGCCCCUGCCCAAUGGGCUUUGGUGGCCUAGAGCCAUAAGAAGGUCCUCCCACCUCACCCUGCCACAAUAGUAACCUUUAGGAAAUUUAAGCUGCCCUGAACCCCAUGCCCCCAGCUUGUCACAUCCAAAAGGGUGUAAAUAUUCCCAACAUGGCCUAUUUCAACCUCCAAGAUGGCUUCAUUGACUGUGGAGUUGGGGAGACAUGUGCACAGUCAGCCCUCGUGAGCAGGUGUGAGCCACCUCCAGAACUCCACUGAUACGCCAGCAAUCAGGAUUUGCAGUACAGAUGAAGACUGUGGAACACUUAUUUUAAUGGGCUAGAAGACUUCCUGGCAUGUUUUGAGUAAAUUGUGCUACUGUCAUGCAGAACUGGAUUAAUGUCUGUCUUAUAAAUAAGACC
rnacentral:lncRNA from 10 species